UACGAAGGGGGCAAGCGUUGUUCGGAAUUACUGGGCGUAAAGCGCGCGCAGGCGGUCUUCCAAGUCAGUGGUGAAAGCCCGGAGCUCAACUCCGGAAUUGCCAUUGAAACUGUUAGACUUGAGGAUGAGAGAGGUGAGUGGAAUUCCCAGUGUAGAGGUGAAAUUCGUAGAUAUUGGGAAGAACACCGGUGGCGAAGGCGGCUCACUGGCGCAUUACUGACGCUCAGGCGCGAUAGCGUGGGGAGCAAACAGG
rnacentral:rRNA from 1 species